CCAAGACCUUUGGAUUAAAGGGGAAUUGGGAGAGCCAGGACAGGCACUAGGAUGGACCAUUCAGAGGUCUAGAUCCAGCAUGGAGUCAGUGAGGGUGAGAAGACUUCAGCGGAGAGGGAGAUGGAAAGAACCAAAUCUGCCAGCAUGAGGGCUCAGGCAGGAGGCGCCUGCAACAAAGCAACCGAGAUCCCGCAGCUGAGCCGCUCCCAUCAUGAAGCCUCUGGCCUACACAAUGGGGAAGAUGAAACCAGCCAGCCUCAUCAAUCGUCCCUGGGCAGGCCAGUCUCCUCUUCAGUCUCAUGUUCAGGGUUUGCAUAAUUAGGCGCCUGAUGGAGGCGAAUGUCUGCCCCACCGAAGGUCGUCAUUGUGCAGCACUCUGUCGGGGAGCUGUGAGGUACACAGCAGCCCGGGCCUGCUCCGAACAGCAGCAGAGCCUGUGAGGAGGAGCCUGGCUUUUGCAGGAGCGCAUUAAUAAGGUUGGAAACCCGUGGCUUGGGAAUCAGAGCCAAUCGCAGUCAUGUCAGAAAUGGAAAUAAGAAACUCCUGGAUGAAAUGGAGGAGCCAGCAACCCUCUAACCAGAGGUUCUGAAUUUCAAUUUGGGGUCCACUCUGCAAAAGCUGAGGGCUAUUGAGCAAAUCCUUCAACCCCUCAGUGUCUUUGUUUCCUGGACUGCAAAAUGGUGGUGACAUACCAGUUCCCCUUAUCUUAGAGACCAAUCGGUUUACACUUUGAAGAGCUCACGGUGUGUUCAGGGCACUAUUCUAAGGGUGUUACAUGUGUAUUAACUCUAUAAUCAGCAACAACCCUAUGCAAGUUUGUAGCUGAUGGACAAAAACUUUGUCAUGGAUCAGCGCUGAUGGGUAGAGUUUAGGAUGCAUUCAUGCCCAGGGCUCCUCUGCCCAGGCUUGGGGCUACCUUGUGGGGCUUGGUUGUGAGGACCAUGGCCAAGGCUGGGUGGCCAGGGACGAAGUAUCUGUCCUGGCCUGAGCACCUGUGCUGACCUAGCCCAUCCACGCCAUCACAGUGGGCACCUUUGCUGUCCUUCUGGGAAUUCUCCCAGUCACUAGUGAGGGUGAUAGCUUUCCCACUUCUGGCCCAACCUGCUCCCACUCCAUUCCAGGGCCCCCUGGGUCAUCUCCCACUUACAGCCCUCCUCUCGCCUUUGGGAUCUGACACCUGAACUCGCUUUCUGCAGUUUGCCCUUUGGCAUUCUUCAAGGGCUUUGGCUGAUCCUGCCUUCUGGCUGCUCCUGCUCCUCCUGCCUGAUCCCCACCUCUGGACCCCAGCCUGGGCUGUCCUCAACUGUCUGGAAACUACUCAGAAUGUUAGAUCUUGAAUCACCUCUUGCAGCCACCACAGUGUGGACUCAAUCCUUUUUCCAUUCAUGUUCUCCUGUUCUGCAACUGGGCUGAAAUGACUGCAUGGCGAUGAGGGAGAGAAGACUGAGUCUCAAGUGGGGACGCAAUUUGUGGAAAACAAUAGGCCCCAGGGCAAGGAGCGAAAUGGGCAAUUAGCCCAGGUCUGUGUUGAAGUCAGUCUCUUGGACUUACCUGGAAGCUCUCUAAGGCAGGGAUAUAUUCAGAUCAUCUUUUCAUUUUUUUAUUUCCUUCCUCCUCCCAACUCUCCAUGUUCACCCCUCCCCAAAAAAACUAGUAAAGCUCAUUUGCAAUAUAUUUGUUGCUUUGAAUUUUUUUUUUUAUUUAUUAUUAUUAUUUUGAGACACAGUCUCACUCUGUCACCCAGGCUGGAGUGCAGUGGCACGAUCUCGGCUCACUGCAAGCUCCGCUCCCCCCUCCCCCACACCUCCCUCAAAGAGGUUUCAGUGUGACAAGGAAGAGGUCACACACACCCAGGGAGCUAGAAGUAACGCAGAAAAUACAGACUGCUUCAAGAAAAGUACGAAGGCUGGGCUAAACUGGUUUCACUUCCAAGUGAUUGGGUGAUGGCCCCUAUGGGUCAGCCUGGCCUGAAAAAGAAAUCUCCCCAUUGGGGCUCCAGCUUGUCCCAUUCAGCCCUUAACACAGCUCUGAGCUGAGGCAGGAGUCAGCAUCACCAGCACUUUUUGUUUUACAGGGUUUUUUCCCUUCAAUUCUCCAUUUGUCUUGGUCUGCAGGUGCUCUUCUCCCUGACCCUCCUUUCAUAUUCAUCCUAAAUGACAAGACCUUUCCUUAAAAACAAGCAUCUUCUCCUCCCAUGGCAAGACAAGGCUGCCCUUUGUGUGUUGUUUUCAUUAAUUUGUUGAUACUUGUUUUCAAGCUACAUUUUAUUGGACUUGUGCUUACUUUGCUGAAGCACAAAGGUUGUUUAAGCAGAAGGGCACAAGAAAGUGGAAAACUCCUGACCUCAAGUGAUCCACCCACCUCGGCCUCCCAAAGUGCUGAGAUUACAGGCGUGAGCCACCACACCCGAUCACGGGUCUUCCUGCUUCUGUGAUCACCUUCUCAUAACCUUGAGACCACUGCACAUUGAUGAAGUUCAGUUAAUCUACAAUGACUGUAGCCAUCUGAGUGACCCCAGGUGAGACCAAUAGAACUGUCGAACUAGCCAACGCACAGCAUUGUGAGAAACAAUAAAUCAUUGUUUUAAGCCAUUAUGUUUUGUGGUGGUUUGUUACAAACACAUAACUAAAACAACCUCAAAAUCUGGAUAAUAUGUUAGGGCCUGCCUGGAAAGCUGGCUGCCCCCCUGCUCUUCCUCGGCCCAUCGUGGGAACUCUUGGCUAUAAACAAAUCUUCCCGGAGUGGAUAAGUGGUCAGGAUUUAAGGUGGUAUUCUUCCCAGGUGCUCGUGCAACUUCAAAAAAAUAAAAUUCUAAGAAUGGGAUUUCAGGCCCUUAUCAAGGACAUAUUUAUGGCCAGGGACCCUCCUGCCUGCUCUUCAGAAACCACAUCUUGGCUUCUUCCUUCAAUAGCUUCCAGCCACCUGUUAAAGAUCUGCCUUUCCCAGAUGAGAAGGCAGGUCUAAUUCAGAGGAGAUUGAGCUGGUUGAUAAUGCAGAAGAAAUUUCAAGGCGACUCUGAAGCACAUCUAGGCUUCCUUGUAGCCAAACCAAACGAAAUAAUCUCAAACCCCAAAAUAUUACAGGAAAAAAAAUAAAAUCAAGUAUUGCAAAGAUGACAAAAUGUUGGGUCGGG
rnacentral:lncRNA from 1 species